CACACCUUAUUUUCAAAUUGUGAAACCAUCCAAGCCGUUUAUCAUGUCUAGCAACUGCAACAUCGUGUCCAGUAGCAUAUGCAACAAUGGCACAACAACGAGCAAAGGUAGUCAUCCACUUUUUACAAGGAAUGUGGUUCAAUAUUACGCACCGGCUAGCUGAACAGGUCGAUAGGGUGCGCACCAGCUAGCUGGGGAGUUUGAUUGGCUUUUACCCUAUGUUCAGGAACCGCUUGAUCAUAUCCUGUUCAAGAUGGGUCUUUCUAAAAUCAAGAUUCAAGAGCUGAUCUCCAACUAAGAGAAUCAUCAAUGCAUUAAAAGAUUCGAGGGUCUUGCGUUUUCUAGAGCAUGGCGACUCCCAAUUGAAACAUCGGAUAUCCAUUCUCAACUGAAACAGGUGUGGAGAUUACUUCUAGCUGCUAUGAAGUUUUCAUUUGCUAAUGGCAUUGAAUUGCACGUGUUUUGUGAGCUGGAUAAGUAUUGUCAUAUGUGGAACUUGCAUUUAAUUAUAUUGUGCUUCCUUUGUACACCUACUACAUGCUUGAAGCAUUAUAAAAAUUACCAACUUUUGCAA